UUGAACCCACGAACCACGAACCGCAAGAUCACGGCCUGAGCUGAAGUCGGACGCUUCACCGACUGAGCCACCCAGGCACCCUUCAGAAUCCGCUUUAGGCUCACUUCUAAGUAGGGUGGACUUGUAAAUAACUUGAAGCUAAUAGUUCUGCAUUGAUUCCAUCCAUUAGUAUAGCUACUAUUACCGUUAUUAGUGAUAAUUUACUUGCUUUAAGUUAACCUAAACAAAACCCUUAGUAAGUUCUCCUGUACUUAUUCCCGAAGGUGGAGAAAAGCAAAAGGGAAAAUCCGAGUCCUUUUCUCCAUGAGCACACAGAGUGUCGUGCAUCACAUUGAACACAGCAGAGUGACUUGUCGACAAAUCGGGCAAGUGCCUCAGAAUCAGACCUGGGGAAACGAAGAGAGCCAAGAUGGGUCUGUCAAUUUUGUCUCGUAGAAAGAACGGCACAAAACCCUCCACAAAAGAAAAUUUGGAGUAAUAAUAAUUUGUCCGCAGGAAAGGCAUUUCCACUGGGGACUGUAAGAAGGAAGACAUUGGAGAGAUGAAGAAAACUGAGGCUCAGUGCACUCACGCAGCGGCAGAGUAGGCACCGGACCCAGGCUUUGUGCCUUUAAAGAGCGUGUGAACAUCCAUCCGGCUCCACCUCAAGGGACGGCCCUGUCACUGACCAAUGCCACUUGAUUUCAGCCCGGCGGUGGCUCUCUGCCAAGGAGGGACAUAUGCGUGGGGGGGAGCUGUGGAUCGAAGACGGGUCAGAGACUCUGGAUCGGAAAAAGACUGGCUUGAGCUAGAUCGAGGGACAGGAGUUGGGAGUUUCAUUCCAAUCCAGACAGACCGUGUUUUAUGAGGGACCCGGGUGACUUGAGACAACAGGCAGGAAUGAUUGAAGGACCGAUCCAAUGUCACAUUACUAUACCGUUCUCUCUAAUGAGCAAAUUCCUUAGAUAAUUAAGCAUUUUGAAAAACUGCGUCACCCAGCCCAAACCAGUACUCAAAUACAAACAAAACCGGAAGCAUGUGAAUGAGGAGGACGUAGGGGCGAUCUUUGGCAUUAAUAGAUCGUCAAAUUGUUGGAGCCUCAGGUAUUAGAUCCCAUUGGACAUAGAGCAUUAUUCAAUUAAAUAAAUAAUAACGUGACCUAGUUUUCUAGGGUCACAUUCUCAGUCCCAA